rnacentral:rRNA from 1 species
UAGAUCGGGAGACGAACUGGGAACGGCUACUUCGAGGACCUUUCUCAGGCGUCAACCAGUCAACUCAGAACUAGUAUGGACAAGGAAAAUUCAAUUGUUUAAUUAAAACAAAGCAUUGCAAUGGUCCCUGUGAAUGCUCACGCAAUGUGAUUUUUGCCUAGUGCUCUAAAUGUUAAAGUGAAGAAAUUCAACCAAGCGCGGGUAAACGACUGGAGUAACUAUGACUCUCUUAAGGUAGCCAAAUGCGUCAUCAUCUAAUUAGUGAUGCACAUAACUGGAUUAACAAGAUUCCCACUAUCCCUAUCUACUAUCUAGUGAAACCACAGCCAAGGGAACAAGCUUGG